rnacentral:rRNA from 1 species
UACGUAGGGGGCAAGCGUUGUCCGGAUUUAUUGGGCGUAAAGCGCACGUAGGCGGACUAUUAAGUCAGGGGUGAAAUCCCGGGGCUCAACCCCGGAACUGCCUUUGAUACUGGUAGUCUCGAGUCCGGAAGAGGUGAGUGGAAUUCCGAGUGUAGAGGUGAAAUUCGUAGAUAUUCGGAGGAACACCAGUGGCGAAGGCGGUUCACUGGUCCGGUACUGACGCUGAGGUGCGAAAGCGUGGGGAGCAAACAGG